rnacentral:lncRNA from 1 species
AUGGUGUGGACCAGUGCUGGUCUGGUAGUCAUGGUGACAGUGUUAGGACUGGUCCUGCUCCUGUUCUACAGACAGAGGAGAGGAACCAGGAGAACACCACCACCACCACCACCACCAGUCUCCUCCAACACACAACCUGACCCUACUGGAGAGGUUGACUGUGUGUACGAGGAGAUCAGAGAGGCAGACAGACAGACAGACACACUUCCUGUGGUCAUCUCUGUAGUCUACUCUACUGUCAAAUCACCUAACAACUCUACAACCUACCCUGCUGACCAAGCCUCUACAACCCACACUGCUGGCCAAGCCUCUACAACCCACCCUGCUGGCCAAGCCUCUACAACCUACCCUGCUGACCAAGCCUCUACAACCUACCCUGCUGGCCAAGCCUCUACAACCUACCCUGCUGGCCAAGCCUCUACAACCUACCCUGCUAGCUCUGCCACAGGUAUCUGCCACCCAGCUUCUCUCAUCUACUCCAAUGUGGAUCUACUCAAAGAUGCUAGAGUCUCUUCAAGUCCUCCAACAGCCAGUGGAACCCAGGAUGAUUCCAUCUACUCUACAGCCCAGCUACCCAAAGAUACUGUAGAAUCUACAAGAUACCCUGCUGUACACCUCUCUAAAGACACUCCAGAAGAUGCCCUCUACUCUACAGCCUAGCUACCCAAAGAUACUGUAGAAUCUACAAGAUACCCUGCUGUACACCUCUCUAAAGACACUCCAGAAGAUGCCAUCUAUUCUACAGCCCAGCUACCCAAAGAUACUGUAUAAUCUACAAGAUACCCUGCUGUGCACCUCUCUAAAGACACUCCAGAAGAUGCCCUCUACUCUACAGCUCAGCUACCCAAAAUAAUGUAGUACUAUAGAAUAUAUACAAGGAAUGUGUCCCAAAUGACACCCUAUUAACUAUCCCCCAUAUGGACCCUGGUCAAAGGCAGUGCUCUAUAGGGAACAAGGUGCCAUCUGGGAUGAAGGGAAGCUCCCUGUAGAGAGAUGAAGGGUUGUCACCACAGAGCCACCAUCUUGGAACGACAUAAAAAAAACAAUCCCUUUCCUGUUUCAAAUCCUCCUUGACACAUUGUAUUAAAACAGCUCAUGUGGUUUUACUGUAUAUAAUCUAUAUAAAAUAUGAACAUCUGGCUUUAAAAUCACUUUUAUCUCCAGAUUUUGUGAAAUUCAACCAACAUUAUUGUAAAUAUUUGUGUAAAUAUGAACUAUGUGUUUGUCAAAUCUUGUCUUCAUUUAGUCUGUUAUAAUAAUGAAGACAGUAAUACCAUAAUAGUCCCUUUGAGAUUUACAUGUCUAUUGUCUAUGUAUAUACACUGUGCCUUUUAAAGCAUUUCAUUAAAACAUCAAAAUAGUCAAGUGCGUGUUUGUGUGUGUGUGUGUUUGUAGUGUGUGUGUGUGUUUGUAGUGUGUGUGUGUGUGUGUGUGUGUGUUUGUAGUGUGCAUGUGUGUUUGUAGUGUGUGUGUGUGUGUGUGUGUUUGUAGUGUGUGUGUGUGUUUGUAGUGUGUGUGUGUGUGUGUGUGUGUGUGUUUGUAGUGUGCGUGUGUCAGUGUGUUUGUGCACAUGUAAAGAAAGAGGAAGAGUCUUCUAGACUUGAACCGCCUGACUGACACACCACAGAGAGAGCAGACUCGUAGUGUGACAGCAGUACUGUACGGUGUAGUGAAGGUACUGUAACAGGAAUAGUGUAGUGAAGGUACUGUGACAGGAGUAGUAUAGGGUGUAGUGAAGGUACUGUAACAGGAGUAGUGAAGGUACUGUAACAGGAGUAGUGUUGUGAAGGUACUGUGACAGGAGUAGUGUAGUGAAGGUACUGUGAUAGGAGUAGUGAAGGUACUGUAACAGGAGUAGUGUAGUGAAGGUACUGUGAUAGGAGUAGUGAAGGUACUGUAACAGGAGUAGUGUAGUGAAGGUACUGUGACAGGAGUAGUGUAGGGUGUAGUGAAGGUACUGUAACAGGAGUAGUGAAGGUACUGUAACAGGAGUAGUGUUGUGAAGGUACUGUGACAGGAGUAGUGUAGGGUGUAGUGAAGGUACUGUAACAGGAGUAGUGUAGGGUGUAGUGAAGGUACUGUAACAGGAGUAGUGUAGGGUGUAGUGAAAGUACUGUAACAGGAGUAGUGAAGGUACUGUAACAGGAGUAGUGUAGGGUGUAGUGAAGGUACUGUAACAGGAGUAGUGUAGGGUGUAGUGAAGGUACUGUAACAGGAGUAGUGUAGGGUGUAGUGAAAGUACUGUAACAGGAGUAGUGAAGGUACUGUAACAGGAGUAGUGUAGCGUGUAGUGAAGGUACUGUGAAAGGAGUAGUGUAGGGUGUAGUGAAGGUACUGUGACAGGAGUAGUAUAGGGUGUAGUGAAGGUACUGUAACAGGAGUAGUGUAGGGUGUAGUGAAGGUACUGUAACAGGAGUAGUGUAGGGUGUAGUGAAAGUACUGUAACAGGAGUAGUGAAGGUACUGUAACAGGAGUAGUGUAGGGUGUAGUGAAGGUACUGUAACAGGAGUAGUGUAGGGUGUAGUGAAGGUACUGUAACAGGAGUAGUGUAGGGUGUAGUGAAGGUACUGUAACAGGAGUAGUGUAGGGUGUAGUGAAAGUACUGUAACAGGAGUAGUGAAGGUACUGUAACAGGAGUAGUGUAGCGUGUAGUGAAGGUACUGUGAAAGGAGUAGUGUAGCGUGUAGUGAAGGUACUGUAACAGGAGUAGUGUAGGGUGUAGUGAAGGUACUGUAACAGGAGUAGGUUAGGGUGUAGUGAAGGUACUGUAACAGGAGUAGUGUAGGGUGUAGUGAAGGUACUGUAACAGGAGUAGGUUAGGGUGUAGUGAAGGUACUGUAACAGGAGUAGGUUAGGGUGUAGUGAAGGUACUGUAACAGGAGUAGUGUAGGGUGUAGUGAAGGUACUGUAACAGGAGUAGUGUAGGGUGUAGUGAAGGUACUGUAACAGGAGUAGGUUAGGGUGUAGUGAAGGUACUGUAACAGGAGUAGUGUAGGGUGUAGUGAAGGUACUGUAACAGGAGUAGUGAAGGUACUGUGAAAGGAGUAGUGUAGGGUGUAGUGAAGGUACUGUGACAGGAGUAGUAUAGGGUGUAGUGAAGGUACUGUAACAGGAGUAGUGUAGCGUGUAGUGAAGGUACUGUGAAAGGAGUAGUGUAGGGUGUAGUGAAGGUACUGUGACAGGAGUAGUAUAGGGUGUAGUGAAGGUACUGUAACAGGAGUAGUGUAGGGUGUAGUGAAGGUACUGUAACAGGAGUAGUGUAGGGUGUAGUGAAAGUACUGUAACAGGAGUAGUGAAGGUACUGUAACAGGAGUAGUGUAGGGUGUAGUGAAGGUACUGUAACAGGAGUAGUGUAGCGUGUAGUGAAGGUACUGUGAAAGGAGUAGUGAAGGUACUGUGACAGGAGUAGUGUAGGGUGUAGUGAAGGUACUGUGACAGGAGUAGUGUAGGGAGUAGUGAAGGUACUGUGACAGGAGUAGUGUAGGGAGUAGUGAAGGUACUGUGACAGGAGUAGUGUAGGGUGUAGUGAAGGUACUGUAACAGGAGUAGUGUAGGGUGUAGUGAAGGUACUGUAACAGGAGUAGUGUAGGGUGUAGUGAAGGUACUGUAACAGGAGCAGUGUAGGGUGUAGAGAAGGUACUGUAACAGGAGUAGUGUAGGGUGUAGUGAAGGUACUGUAACAGGAGUAGUGUAGCGUGUAGUGAAGGUACUGUGAAAGGAGUAGUGAAGGUACUGUGACAGGAGUAGUGUAGGGUGUAGUGAAGGUACUGUAACAGGAGUAGUGUAGGGUGUAGUGAAGGUACUGUAACAGGAGUAGUGUAGCGUGUAGUGAAGGUACUGUAACAGGAGUAGGUUAGGGUGUAGUGAAGGUACUGUAACAGGAGUAGUGUAGGGUGUAGUGAAGGUACUGUGACAGGAGUAGUAUAGGGUGUAGUGAAGGUACUGUAACAGGAGUAGUAUAGGGUGUAGUGAAGGUACUGUAACAGGAGUAGUGUAGGGUGUAGUGAAGGUACUGUGACAGGAGUAGUGUAGGGUGUAGUGAAGGUACUGUGACAGGAGUAGUGUAGGGUGUAGUGAAGGUACAGUAACAGGAGUAGUGUUGUGAAGGUACUGUGACAGGAGUAGUGUAGGGUGUAGUGAAGGUACUGUAACAGGAGUAGUGUAGGGUGUAGUGUAGGCUCUGGAGAGUCUUACGGUUGUGGGCCGAGCAGUUGCCUUACCAUGCAGUGAUACAGCCCAACAGGAUGCUCUCGAUUGUGCAUCUGUAAAAGUUUGUGAGUGUUUUCGGUGACAAGCCAAAUUUCUUCAGCCUCCUGAGGUUGCGCCCUCUUCACCACGCUGUCUGUGUGGGUGGACCAUUUCAGUUUGUCCGUGAUUUGUACACCGAGGAACUUAAAACUUUCCACCUUCUCCUCUGCCGUCCCGUCGAUGUGGAUAUGGGGGUGGUCCCUCUGCUCUUUCCUGAAGUCCACGAUCAUCUCCUUUGUUUUGUUGACGUUGAGUGGGAGAUAUUUUCCUGACACCACACUCCGAGGGUCCUCUCCUCCUCCCUGUAGACCAUCUUGUUGUUGUUGGUAAUCAAGCCUACCACUAUAGUGUCGUCUGCAAACUUGAUGAUUGAGUUGGAGGCGUACAUGGCCACCCAGUCAUGGGUGAACAGGGAGUAAAGGAGAGGGCUGAGAACACACCCUUGUGGGGCAUCAGUGUUGAGGACCAGCAGGGUGGAGAUGUUGUUUCCUACCCUCACCACCUGGGGGCAGCCCAUCAGAAAGUCCAGGACCACUUGCACAGGGCGGGAUCGAGACCCAGGGUCUGGAGCUUAAUGACGAGUUUGGAGGGUUCUAUGGUGUUAAAUGCUGAGCUGUAGUUGAUGAACAGCAUUCUUACAUAGGUAUUCCUCUUGUCCAGAUAGGAUAGGGCAGUAUGCAGUGUGAUUGCGAUUGACUCGUCUGUGGACCUGUUGGGGCGGUAAGCAAUUGGAGUGGGUCUAGGAUAUCAGGUUGGG